rnacentral:SRP_RNA from 1 species
GCCGGGCACGGUGGCACCUGCCUGUGGUCCCAGCUACUCGGGAGGCUGAGGGGGAAGGACCGCUUGAGCCCAGGAGUUCUGGGCUGUAGUGCCCUAUGCCGAUCGGCUGUCUGCACUAAGUUCAGCAUCAUUAUGGUGACCUCCUGGGAGCGGGGACCACCAGGUUGCCUAAGGAGGGGUGAACCGGCUCAGGUCGGAAACGGAGCAGUUUAAAAAUCCCGUGCUGAUCAGUAGUGGGAUUGCACCUGUGAAUAGCCAUUGCACUCCAGCCUGGGCAACAUAGCAAGACCCGGUCUCU